GUACUUGAGGAGGAAGCCCCGGCUAACUACGUGCCAGCAGCCGCGGUAAUACGUAGGGGGCUAGCGUUAUCCGGAAUUACUGGGCGUAAAGGGUGCGUAGGUGGUUUCUUAAGUCAGAGGUGAAAGGCUACGGCUCAACCGUAGUAAGCCUUUGAAACUGGGAAACUUGAGUGCAGGAGAGGAGAGUGGAAUUCCUAGUGUAGUGGUGAAAUGCGUAGAUAUUAGGAGGAACACCAGUUGCGAAGGCGGCUCUCUGGACUGUAACUGACACUGAGGCACGAAAGCGUGGGGAGCAAACAGGAUUAGAUACCCUGGUAGUCCACGCCGUAAACGAUGAGUACUAGCUGUCGGAGGUUACCCCCUUCGGUGGCGCAGCUCACGCAUUAAGUACUCCGCCUGGGAA
rnacentral:rRNA from 1 species